rnacentral:rRNA from 1 species
UACGUAGGGUGCAAGCGUUGUCCGGAAUUAUUGGGCGUAAAGAGCUCGUAGGCGGUCUGUUGCGUCGGCUGUGAAAUCCCGAGGCUCAACCUCGGGUCUGCAGUCGAUACGAGCAAACUAGAGUGUUGCAGGGGAGACUGGAAUUCCUGGUGUAGCGGUGAAAUGCGCAGAUAUCAGGAGGAACACCGGUGGCGAAGGCAGGUCUCUGGGCAACAACUGACGCUGAGGAGCGAAAGCGUGGGGAGCGAACAGG